UACCAGCACCCCGAGUGGUCGGGACGAUUAUUGGGCCUAAAGCAUCCGUAGCCGGUUCUACAAGUCUUCCGUUAAAUCCACCUGCUUAACAGAUGGGCUGCGGAGGAUACUAUAGAGCUAGGAGGCGGGAGAGGCAAGCGGUACUUAGUGGGUAGGGGUAAAAUCCGUUGAUCCAUUGAAGACCACCAGUGGCGAAGGCGGCUUGCCAGAACGCACUCGACGGGAUGAGGGAUGGAAAGC
rnacentral:rRNA from 1 species